rnacentral:rRNA from 1 species
UACGUAGGGCGCGAGCGUUGUCCGGAAUUAUUGGGCGUAAAGAGCUUGUAGGCGGUUUGUCGCGUCUGCUGUGAAAUCUCAAGGCUCAACCUUGAGCUUGCAGUGGGUACGGGCAGACUAGAGUGUGGUAGGGGAGACUGGAAUUCCUGGUGUAGCGGUGAAAUGCGCAGAUAUCAGGAGGAACACCGAUGGCGAAGGCAGGUCUCUGGGCCACUACUGACGCUGAGAAGCGAAAGCAUGGGGAGCGAACAGG